rnacentral:rRNA from 1 species
CGGUUGAUCCUGCCGGACCCGACUGCUAUUUGGGUGAGGAUAAGCCAUGCGAGUCGUAUGGGAUACCUAAAAUUNCCAUGNCAGACUGCUCAGUAACACAUGAUCAACUUACCCUAUAGAGAAAAAUAACCUCGGGAAACUGAGGAUAAUGUUUCAUAGUUGAAAAGGCUUGGAAAAGUUUUUCAACGAAAUGGAUAAGAAAAAUGGUUCUUAUCUGCUAUAGGAUAGGAUCGUGGUCGAUUAUGGUUGUUGGUGAGGUAACGGCUCACCAAGCCGAUAAUCGAUAGGGGCCGUGAGAGCGGGAGCCCCGAGAUGGGUACUGAGACAACGACCCAGGCCUUACGAGGCGCAGCAGGCGCGAAACCUCCGCAAUACACGAAAGUGUGACGGGGUUACCCAAAGUGUUCAAUAUUGAACUGUGGCAGGUGAGUAAUGUCCCCUGCUAGAAAGGAGAGGGCAAGGCUGGUGCCAGCCGCCGCGGUAAAACCAGCUCUUCAAGUGGUCGGGAUAAUUAUUGGGCUUAAAGUGUCCGUAGCCGGUUUAGUAAGUUCCUGGUAAAAUCGGGUAGCUUAACUAUCCGUAUGCUAGGAAUACUGCUGUACUAGAGGGCGGGAGAGGUCUGAGGUACUACAGGGGUAGGGGUGAAAUCUUAUAAUCCUUGUAGGACCACCAGUGGCGAAGGCGUCAGACUGGAACGCGCCUGACGGUGAGGGACGAAAGCCAGGGGAGCGAACCGGAUUAGAUACCCGGGUAGUCCUGGCCGUAAACGAUGCAUACUAGGUGAUGGCACGGCCAUGAGCCAUGUCAGUGCCGUAGGGAAACCGUUAAGUGUGCCGCCUGGGAAGUACGGUCGCAAGGCUCAAACUUAAAGGAAUUGGCGG